rnacentral:lncRNA from 1 species
CGCCAAGAAAAUAGAAAGAGAAGAUAGCCACAAGUUAUAGCCUCGGUAGAUUUUCAACAUAUUUGGGUAAUACGUUUUAAUUGAUCUCAGAACCAUCUAUGACAGACCCACAGCCAACAUCAUACUGAAUGGGGAAAAGCUGGAAGCAUUCUUCUUGAAAACCAGUACAAGACAAGGAUGCCAUCUCUCACCACUCCUAUUUAACAUAGUAUUAGAAGUCUUGGCCAGAACAAUUAGGCAAGAGAAAGAAAGAAAGGAUGUCCAGAUAGUAAGAGAGGAAGUCAAACUAUCCCUGUUUGCAGAUGACAUGAUUCUAUAUCUAGAAAACACCAUAGUCUGAGCCCAAAAGCUUCUUAAGCUGAUAAACAACUUCAGCAAGUCUCAGAAUACAAAAAUUGCUAGCAUUCCUAUACAGCAACAACAACCAAGCCGAGAGCCAAAUCAGGAAUUCAAUCUCAUUCACAAUUGCCCAAAAAGAAUAAAAUAUUUAGGAAUACAGCUAACCAGGAGGGUGAAGUAUCUCUACAAUGAGAACUGUAAAACACUGCUUAAGGAAAUCAGAGAUGACACAAACAAAUUUUAAAAAAAUUCUUUGCUCCUGGAUAGAAAGAUAUCCUAUACAUAUCAUUAAAAUGGUCAUACUACCUAAAGCAGUUUAUAGACUCAAUGCUAUUCCUAUCAAACUACCAAUGAUAUUCUUCAUAGUACCAGAAAAAAAAAAAACUAUUUUAAAAUUCAUAUAGAAUAAAAAAAGAGCCCAAAUAGCCAAGACAAUCUUAAGAAAAAAGAACAAAACUGGCGGCAUCUUGUUACCCAACUUCAAACUAUAUCACAGGGCUACACUAACUAAAACAGCAUGGUACUAGGACAAAAACAGACACAUAGACAAAUGGAACAGAAUAGAGGCCUAGAAAUAAGUCCACACACCUACAACCAUCUGAUCUUCCACAAAGCUGACAAAUACAAGAAACGGGGAAAAGACUCCCUAUUCAAUAAGCAGUGUUGGGUUAACUGGCUAGCUACAUGCAGAAGAUUACAACUGAAGCCAUUUCUUACACCAUGUACAAAAAUCAACACAAGAUGGAUUUAAUACUUAAAUGUAAAACCCAAAACUAUAAAAAUGCUAGAAGACAACCUAUGUAGUAUCAUUCAGGACACAGAAACAGGCAAAGAGUUAUGACAAAGACACCAAAGAGCAAUUGCAAAAAAAAAGCAAAAAAUUGACAAAUGGGAUCUAAUUAAACUUAAGAGCUUCUGCACAGCAAAUGAAACUAUCAACAGAGUAAACAGACAACGUACUGUAUGGGAGAAAAUAUUUGCAGCUAUGCAUCUGACAAAGUUCUAAUAUAGCAUCUAUAAGGAACUUAAAUUUACAAAUAACAAAAGAAAACACAUUAAAAAGUGGGCAGAGGAAAUGAACAGACACUUCUGUAAAGAAGACAUACAUCGGCCAAAAAUCAUAUGAAAAGAAGCUGAAUAUCACUUAUUAUUAGAGAAAUGCAAAUCAAAACCACAAUGAGAUACCAUCUCACACCUGUCAGAAUGGCUAAUAGUAAAAAUUCAAAAAAUAACAUAUGCUGGCAAGUGGCAAUGUUGUGGAGAAAAGAGAACAAGUAUACACUGUUGGUGGGCGUGUAAAUUAGGUCAUCCAUUGUGGAAGACAGUGUGGCGAUUCCUCAAAGUGCUAAAAACAGAACUACCAUUCAACCCAGCCAUCUUAUUACUGGGUUUAUACCCAGAGGAAUAUAAAUCAUUUCACCAUAAAGACACAUGUAUAUGUAUGUUCACUGCAGCACUGUUCACAAUAGCAAACACAUAGAAUCAAUCUCAAUGCCCAUCAGUGACAGAUUGGAUGAAGAAAAUGUGAUACAUUUGCACCAUGGUAUACUAUGCAGCCAUAAAAAAUGAGAUUGUGUCUUUUCUGGGAACAUGGAUGGAAUUGGAGGCCCUUAUUUUUAGCAAACUAAUACAGAAACAGAAAACAAAUAGUGCAUGUUCUCACUUAUGAGUGGAAGCUAAAUCAUGACAGCUCAUGAACACAAAGAAGGGAACAACAGAUACUGGGGCCUCCUUGAGGGUGGAGGUGGGAGGAGGGAGAGGAACAGGAAAAAUAGCUAUUGAGUACUAAGCUUAGUACCUGGGUGACGAAAUAAUCUGUACAUCAAGCCUCCUUGACAUGAGUUUACCUACAUACAACAAACCUGGACAUGUACCCCCAAAUCUAAAAUAAGAGUUAAAAAAUAUAAAAACUAAAAUGAAAAAAUGAUCUUAUUUAAACAUACGUUUUAACGUAUAUGGAAAAUUUAUUUUGGGUGCUCCAUGUGGCAGCUCAAAGGUAGAGGCAGUCAUCCUACUCAAUUGCUAAAAAAUGAUUUACAGGAAAAGACUUGUGUCAGAUGACCAGGAAAUUUACCCAUAUGUAUUAACAUUUUGUGAACAGAGAAAAUCAACAUGGGUUUUGUAACAUGAACCCCAAAUCAAAAGAUACAAGGGCAAAUUCCUCUAGAUUUCAGAUAUUGAUGAAUUUUUAUAGUUGUUUCUCAAAUAGGCAACUUUACUACAGCAAUUUCCAAGUUUCCUAGUAAUAGGGAAUUAUAUAUUUAUCUGUGGUUGAUUAUUCCCUAUAGGCAAUCCUAGAGGAUGGUUUCUAGCUACUUUGUUAAAGAGAGA